CAUAGAGUUUUCGCACUAUCGAAGAAAUUUAAAACGAGACUCUUUUCACCAGGUGUUAAGCAACAACAAAUUCAAGAGUGCAACACAUAGAGUGGUGAGAUCGAAGGGGAAAAGCCGUUACUCGUAUGCAUUCUUCUAUAACUUGCACGGAGACAAGUGGGUUGAGCCAUUACCACAGUUUACAGAGGAAAUUGGAGAAUCGCCCAAGUACAGAGGAUUCCUCUUCAAAGAAUAUGCGCAGCUAAGAGUCAAAAACAGGACUCAUCCACCAACUAGACCUGAAGAUCUCAUCCAUAUAACCCACUAUUCAAUUUCUAAUUAGAGAACUCUAUAUGUGAUCAAAGGUUUUCCUCUAUGUCGAAGGAAACAUGGCAAUAGUAUCUAUUACUUCACUCAGAAUUAAUGUGGAGACAAUUUAUUUGAGUGUUAUCUCUUCAAUCAGCUAUCCCAUUUCACUUGUUUCCUGCAGAACCUCUUCGUUCAUUUUCAUAGAUUACUGGAACAAUAUCAUACAAGUUAUUAUUACACUAAUUCUGAUUUUCCGGGAUCGAAUUUUAGCAUUUA